rnacentral:rRNA from 1 species
AUUGAACGCUGGCGGCAGGCCUAACACAUGCAAGUCGAGCGAGCGGCGGACGGGUGAGUAAUGUAUGGGGAACUGCCCGAUGGAGGGGGAUAACUACUGGAAACGGUGGCUAAUACCGCAUACUAUCGGAUGAACCCAAAUGGGAUUAGCUUGUAGGUGGGGUAACGGCUCACCUAGGCGACGAUCCCUAGCUGGUCUUAGAGGAUGACCAUCCACACUGGGACUGAGACACGGCCCAUACCCCUACGGGAGGCAGAAGUGGGGAAUAUUGCACAAUGUGCGCAAGCCUGAUGCAGCCAUGCCGCGUGUAUGAAGAAUGCCUUAGGGUUGUAAAGUACUUUCAGCGGGGAGGCGUUACCCGCAGAAGAAGCACCGGCUAACUCCGUGCCAGCCGCCGCGGUAAUAC